rnacentral:rRNA from 1 species
GAAGGAAAAGAAACCAACAGGGAUUGCCUCAGUAACGGCGAGUGAAGCGGCAACAGCUCAAAUUUGAAAUCUGGAGCCUUCGGCUUCCGAGUUGUAAUUUGAAGAGGAUGCCUCGGUUGCGGCCCCAGCCCAAGUUUCUUGGAACAGAACGUCGUAGAGGGUGAGAAUCCCGUUCGCGGCUGCCGGCUUACUACCAUGUGUGGCUCCUUCGAAGAGUCGAGUUGUUUGGGAAUGCAGCUCAAAAUGGGUGGUAAAUUUCAUCUAAAGCUAAAUAUUGGCGAGAGACCGAUAGCGCACAAGUAGAGUGAUCGAAAGAUGAAAAGCACUUUGAAAAGAGAGUUAAACAGUACGUGAAAUUGUUGAAAGGGAAGCGCUUGCAAUCAGACUCACCUGCGGUUGAUCAACGUUCCUUCUGGUUCGUGCACUCUGCCGUUCGUGGGCCAGCAUCAGUUGGGACGGCGGGACAAAGGCUCUGGGAAUGUGGCUCUCUUCGGAGAGUGUUAUAGCCCAGUGUGCAAUGCCGCCUGCCCCGACUGAGGUCCGCGCUUCGGCUAGGAUGCUGGCUUAAUGGUUGUAAGCGACCCGUCUUGAAACACGGACCAAGGAGUCUAACAUCUAUGCAAGUUUUUGGGUGUCAAACCCAUGAGCGCAAUGAAAGUGAACGGAGGUGGGAGCCCUAGGGUGCACCAUCGACCGAUCCUGAUGUUCUCGGAUGGAUUUGAGUAUGAGCAUAGCUGUUGGGACCCGAAAGAUGGUGAACUAUGCCUGAAUAGGGUGAAGCCAGAGGAAACUCUGGUGGAGGCUCGCAGCGGUUCUGACGUGCAAAUCGAUCGUCAAAUUUGGGUAUAGGGGCGAAAGACUAAUCGAACCAUCUAGUAGCUGGUUCCA